GGCAAGUCGAGCGGAUGUAAGGGAGCUUGCUCCUGGAUUCAGCGGCGGACGGGUGAGUAUUGUUUAGGAAUCUGCCUGGUAGUGGGGGAUAACGUCCGGAAACGGGCGCUAAUACCGCAUACGUCCUGAGGGAGAAAGUGGGGGAUCUUCGGACCUCACGCUAUCAGAUGAGCCUAGGUCGGAUUAGCUAGUUGGUGGGGUAAAGGCCUACCAAGGCGACGAUCCGUAACUGGUCUGAGAGGAUGAUCAGUCACACUGGAACUGAGACACGGUCCAGACUCCUACGGGAGGCAGCAGUGGGGAAUAUUGGACAAUGGGCGAAAGCCUGAUCCAGCCAUGCCGCGUGUGUGAAGAAGGUCUUCGGAUUGUAAAGCACUUUAAGUUGGGAGGAAGGGCAGUAAGUUAAUACCUUGCUGUUUUGACGUUACCAACAGAAUAAGCACCGGCUAACUUCGUGCCAGCAGCCGCGGUAAUACGAAGGGUGCAAGCGUUAAUCGGAAUUACUGGGCGUAAAGCGCGCGUAGGUGGUUCAGCAAGUUGGAUGUGAAAUCCCCGGGCUCAACCUGGGAACUGCAUCCAAAACUACUGAGCUAGAGUACGGUAGAGGGUGGUGGAAUUUCCUGUGUAGCGGUGAAAUGCGUAGAUAUAGGAAGGAACACCAGUGGCGAAGGCGACCACCUGGACUGAUACUGACACUGANGUGCGAAAGCGUGGGGAGCAAACAGGAUUAGAUACCCUGGUAGUCCACGCCGUAAACGAUGUCGACUAGCCGUUGGGAUCCUUGAGAUCUUAGUGGCGCAGCUAACGCGAUAAGUCGACCGCCUGGGGAGUACGGCCGCAAGGUUAAAACUCAAAUGAAUUGACGGGGGCCCGCACAAGCGGUGGAGCAUGUGGUUUAAUUUCGAAGCAACGCGAAGAACCUUACCUGGGCCUUGACAUGCUGAGAACUUUCCAGAGGAUGGGAUUUGGGGCCCUUCAGGGGAAACUCAGACACAGGGCU
rnacentral:rRNA from 1 species